rnacentral:rRNA from 1 species
GUGUUCCAGGUAAAUCCGGUUCACUUUAACACUGAGGCGUGAUGACGAGGCACUACGGUGCUGAAGCAACAAAUGCCCUGCUUCCAGGAAAAGCCUCUAAGCAUCAGGUAACAUCAAAUCGUACCCCAAACCGACACAGGUGGUCAGGUAGAGAAUACCAAGGCGCUUGAGAGAACUCGGGUGAAGGAACUAGGCAAAAUGGUGCCGUAACUUCGGGAGAAGGCACGCUGACAUGUAGGUGAAGUGAUUUACUCAUGGAGCUGAAGUCAGUCGAAGAUACCAGCUGGCUGCAACUGUUUAUUAAAAACACAGCACUGUGCAAACACGAAAGUGGACGUAUACGGUGUGACGCCUGCCCGGUGCCGGAAGGUUAAUUGAUGGGGUCAGCGCAAGCGAAGCUCCUGAUCGAAGCCCCGGUAAACGGCGGCCGUAACUAUAACGGUCCUAAGGUAGCGAAAUUCCUUGUCGGGUAAGUUCCGACCUGCACGAAUGGCGUAAUGAUGGCCAGGCUGUCUCCACCCGAGACUCAGUGAAAUUGAACUCGCUGUGAAGAUGCAGUGUACCCGCGGCAAGACGGAAAGACCCCGUGAACCUUUACUAUAGCUUGACACUGAACAUUGAGCCUUGAUGUGUAGGAUAGGUGGGAGGCUUUGAAGCGUGGACGCCAGUCUGCGUGGAGCCGGCCUUGAAAUACCACCCUUUAAUGUUUGAUGUUCUAACGUGGACCCGUGAUCCGGGUUGCGGACAGUGUCUGGUGGGUAGUUUGACUGGGGCGGUCUCCUCCUAAAGAGUAACGGAGGAGCACGAAGGUUGGCUAAUCCUGGUCGGACAUCAGGAGGUUAGUGCAAUGGCAUAAGCCAGCUUGACUGCGAGCGUGACGGCGCGAGCAGGUGCGAAAGCAGGUCAUAGUGAUCCGGUGGUUCUGAAUGGAAGGGCCAUCGCUCAACGGAUAAAAGGUACUCCGGGGAUAACAGGCUGAUACCGCCCAAGAGUUCAUAUCGACGGCGGUGUUUGGCACCUCGAUGUCGGCUCAUCACAUCCUGGGGCUGAAGUAGGUCCCAAGGGUAUGGCUGUUCGCCAUUUAAAGUGGUACGCGAGCUGGGUUUAGAACGUCGUGAGACAGUUCGGUCCCUAUCUGCCGUGGGCGCUGGAGAACUGAGGGGGGCUGCUCCUAGUACGAGAGGACCGGAGUGGACGCAUCACUGGUGUUCGGGUUGUCAUGCCAAUGGCACUGCCCGGUAGCUAAAUGCGGAAGAGAUAAGUGCUGAAAGCAUCUAAGCACGAAACUUGCCCCGA